AGCUUUCUGAAUCUGUACUAGGAUUUAGUUGGAUAUCAACCAACAAGGGCUGAUGAGACUUCUGAGUUAAAUAAAGCA
rnacentral:pre_miRNA from 1 species